GACGGAAGGUGCAAGCGUUGCUCGGAAUCACUGGGCGUAAAGGGUGCGUAGGCGGCUUGGUGGGUCUGGUGUGAAAGCCCCGGGCUCAGCCCGGGAAGGGCACUAGAAACUGCCGAGCUGGAGUGCCGGAGGGGAGAGUGGAAUUCCUGGUGUAGCGGUGAAAUGCGUAGAUAUCAGGAGGAACACCGAUGGCGAAGGCAGGUCUCUGGGCCACUACUGACGCUGAGGCGCGAAAGCUAGGGGAGCAAACAGG
rnacentral:rRNA from 1 species